CGGGACAGAGUCCGGCCGGGCCCCGCUCCCGCAAACCCCCGUUUACCUUCUUUCCCCGCUUUUUCCCCCGGACACUACGGGCUCCGUUUUAUUAACUUUAUUUUGUUAUUGCCGUUGCAUUUUAUUUUUCUCUUUUAAUAAGGGAGCUUUCCCAGACCUGGAAGCACAACUGGUUAUUUUGAUUUGAUUGACAAGUGAUGUCAUAUCGUUAAGGGAGGGGGGAGACGACAACAUGUUUUAGCAACAGUUAGUAGCGCCAUGUGAUGGAGGUGACACCUAUUCCUGGGCAGAGGCGAAGGCAGAGAACAAAUACCCCGGCGCCGCACACGGACCAUUUAUUUACACUCCUGGAGAGGGGUUUCCUCCUCUUUUUUUCCUUUUUUUUCUCCCCCUCUUCCUGGGUGCUUGGACCUGGGAAAAAUUGUACCUGAGGAAGCGGGGGUGGGACUCGCAGACCCGAGGGCACAUUCCUCCAGACACUCCUUCCUGGGGUGCCCUCGGCGACCCCCCGAAAGCCACGCUCCACCCCCCCCCCCGCUGCCCCGUGAACGAAGACCUGGGGGUCGAGACCUCCCAUGCAGCAUUCCCCACUCCUCACUUCGUGAGGUGCAACCCGCCGCCGCAAGCAGGGAGGGCAGGAAAACUCCGUGAAAAGAAAGAAAAAGAGCGCUCGGCUCUCAGUCCCGCACCGGGCCGCGGCGCUCCCGGUGCCUGCGGGCGAUGUGCGAGGCCGGGGCGGGCCGGGAAAGGCGGCUGCCCGCCGGCGGGGAGGGGGCUGGGUGGGCCCACUGUGGGCGUAUCGCCCUGGCCCCCCGCCCCGCCGCAGGUUGGGAACCAGCCGGCUCUGCCAGCGGCUGCCGCCCGCAGGUUAUUUCGGAAGCAACUGUUGCAAGAGGGAGGAAAGAGGCCGAUCCCGCAGCCUCAGCACCCCAAAGCAAAAGGAGGAUAAAGAGGGGAACUUUGCACAUACAACAACAGAAAAAAAAAAAAAAAGGCGAGGGGGGUGAAAGAGUCGGCGGAGAGGAGCGGCCGUGUCCCCGAUGUGCCUGGGUAAUUUUAAAUCAUGCAAAGCCCCGUAAAGCUGCCGCACGGGACUGGGACGGGAAGACUCCCCGGCAGGCAGGUGCAGGGAGAGAGGGGCCGGGCCCUGCCGGCUUUCGGGACAGAACAAACCCUCGCAUCUUUUUUUUUUUUUUUUUUUUUUUUUUUUUUUUAAUGCCCAAAUCUGCCAACAAAGGCAGAGAGAGAUAGGAUGUGGCUGCGGGGAGGGGGCGCAGGACUCCGCACACCCUGUCUCCGGGAAAAUCUCUGCCUGGCCGCCCUGGGUGAAAUGCAACUUUCCAAGAUGGAGAUUUAAAUAAUCAUCCCUAUGACAAUGGGAAAGAAAAAAAGAAAACCAAAACCAAAACAAAACAACCAGUCUCAGACCCAACCACGGCCCGGCAGCCCCGCUCCCCGCGGAGUGCGGUGCGGGAGCGGCCCGGGCGCGCUCCGCCGCCGGGCAGAGCCGGGGGAGCCCCGCGGUGCCCCCGGGCGCUGCACCGGCCUCAGCCCGGCGGGGCGGGAGGCAGCAGCCCGGGGGAUCUGGCCGUGCUGGGGACAUUUUUUCGUUCUUUACAAGCCCUGCCAGGUUUGCCCCUGGGGAAAAUCGCCCCGAGCGAAGCGCUCCGGCAGCGGGACCUGCACCUCGAUGCCUGCAGGGCCGACCCCGGGCCGUGCAGAGCCGCGCCGCCGCGGCCCCUUACCUUGCCUUUCGCCCGUCCUCGUUUUCCUUGCAGUGUUCCGCCCGGUGCCUGGGAAGCGCCGGCUUCUGGCGGGGCCGUUCCGCGGGCUGGGGAAGGGUCCGGCCACGGGAGCCUCCCCGCCUGCCCGCGCCGGGAGCGCGGCUGUGCCGCGGGCGGAAGGUGCGCGCAGCCCGGCGGAGGGGCUGCCGCCGUGCGCGCUGCUGAAAAACUGGCAGCAGUUUCGAGCUGAGCCCUUUUUUUUUUUUCCUCCCUUCCCUCCUUCCCCCCUUCUCUUCCUCCCGCCUCCUUCCCUCUCCUUUCCUCUCUCCCUUCUUUCCCUCCCCUUCUCUCUCUCACUCUCCUGCAUUCACGGAUGGCACAGCGAGCCACUGUGUAUUUAUGUACAUAAUAAGGCAGCUCGUCCCCUCCACUUCAUUUGCAUCAUUACAAUAUCUGUACAAGCACAUCGCAUUGUCUGUUGCUUGCACCUUUUGUUACGGUUGCUGUCACAGUCUACGCGACUUGACUUUCAUAUUUUAAAUGAAUUGAUAUUAUACCAACAACACACACUCACAUCCCAGGCUCUGGGAAACUGGGCUCCGGCGCGGCGGGCGCCGCAGCCCCAGCCUCUCCUGAGCCGCUUGCUUCUUCCUCGGAUCCCAAGGAACGUAGGGUGGGGGGAGCCGCUUCCUAGGAUCAAUUAUUCGUAUAAAUUAUUCCUAUUCGUAUUAAUUUUGUUUCCACUUUCUAAUGAAGGGAAUGCCUUGGGGCUCUCAGAUUUUUUUUUUUCCCCUUGACCAGCCUGGCUUUUGUACAACCUCGUGUUUCUUCUCACCCCUCUCCCUUCCAAACUCAGCCUUUCGGGCUAUGCACCUGCACGUAAGUGAGGCAGCGGAGAAGCUGAAAGAGGCGCAAGCAGAUAUUACACGACGGGUGGUUGUUAUGGCUAGGAAAGAGACGGUAAAAUACGUAUUUCGUAGACCACUAAGAAAUUCAGCCAGAACGAAUAUUUUUGGAAACGUUUGCGCGCCCCAGCCCUAGCUUGGCAGUCCUCACCUGCUGGGUAUUUUCCUCCCGGUGCGUGUGUGUGCGGGGCUGGGGGCUUCCCUCUCCAAGCGCCCGGUGGCUGGAUGGGGUGACGGGAGCGGGGGUCGCGCCGCGGGGGCCGCGUUGAGGCGCCUCGGGGGGCGCGCCAGGAUUCUCCGGAGGGGGGAAACAGGCAGAACCCCCGCCCAAGGCUGCGGGAAAACCAUAUUGAUGGAGAGACAAAGGCCGGACCGUCCGGCGGGGCCCCUGCGGGAGGUGGGGGAACGAAAUAUGGUUCGGGAAGGGAAAGAGAAAAGUUUCGCGGGAGGGGAAUUAUCAUCAUAAUGGAGGUAAAAAUGUGAGCAGGGGAAAGGAGGGGGGGAAUCCUAUUCUGCUGGCAUUUUCUGUCUGUCUUUGUGAUAUGGUUCGGGGGAAAAAGGGUCCUUGAUAUGCGGCAGAUAAUUCUUAUCAGCCCCACGCAGCCCAUUUCCAAAGUAAGUGUUUUAAUUACUCCUCCUGUAUUACCCUUCAUCCUCUGAGAGCAGAUACAUCACCAGAUUUAUGCAGGGGAAAAUACAAAAGAAUGAGGUAUUAAAAUAUAUACAUAUAUAUAUCCCCUCUUUUUUCCCUUGUGCCCAGGAAGAGGGAGACGCUGUCGUCAGACGCGCCCUGGGAUCGCCCUGCACUAAACGACUCCAAAACGAGAAACUGUCGCUCAGGUGGAAAAACUACAGGAAAAGUGGGGAUUGAAGGCUGCAGAUUUUUUCCCAAGCAGGGACAGACGAGGGUGUCCCAGCGGGGGUUUCGGGGGGCUGACCGGCGGAGGCGCAGGGCUGUCACACGAGGCUCACCACACCGUGCCUGCUCGCCGGCUGGCCUGUCCCGGGACAUCCAGGGCCACCCCUCCACGUGCCACCAGAGGCAUUUUUGGUCGGAGGGACAAGGUGUCACGAUUUUCCCCUCACGCUCGCUGGAAGAGAAGGAUGUUUUCCUUUGCUGUUUAGCUUUCGUACUAAAGAUGUCAUCUGAAAGUCUGGGAGGAAGGGGGGAGCGUGUUCUGCUCUCUUCAACGGUAACAACCAUAUUCUGCAUAUUGAAAAAUAUGAUAGACAGUUGAAGGUUUUUUUCCUUCCCCCCUCACCCAAAAAAAAAAAAAAAAAAAAAAAAGAACCAACCUUUUCAAUAUUGAUUCAACAAAAAAAGAGGGAGAGAAUUUAAAAAGAGAAGCAGCAGCACCGGCAGCAAGGAGAAUAUAGGCUCAGCAGCUCUCCAGGUUCGCUUCCUUAUUAUUACUAUCCAGGGGUAAUUUUUCAUCUCUGCUAGCUAAUCUUUGUUCCUUGUGAAGAUAAUGAAUAGCCCAAUCCUUAUCUCCUGGGCUCCUGGAGGCUGCUGGAGAAUGGGGUUGAACAGGGUUGAAAAUUGGUUCCAAAGUGCUGCUGAAUAAAUGGUGUUCCUUA